GACCGAGUGGAGGACCUGUGCAACCAGGAGCUGGGCAAGAUCACCAAACAAGUCAACGACACAACUCUGUUCACUUUGGGAGACUCCAGUCGAAACUCAGGACAGAAAGGAGGGAUUUUUAAAUUGUUUUCUGGUCUGGGUUCUCGCAACACAAACAGCCGUCCGGCAG